AGCACUCUAAUCAGACUGCCGUUGACAAACCGGAGGAAGGUGGGGAUGACGUCAAAUCAUCAUGCCCCUUAUGACCUGGGCUACACACGUGCUACAAUGGAUGGUACAACGAGCAGCAAGACCGCGAGGUCAAGCGAAUCUCUUAAAGCCAUUCUCAGUUCGGAUUGCAGGCUGCAACUCGCCUGCAUGAAGCCGGAAUCGCUAGUAAUCGCGGAUCAGCACGCCGCGGUGAAUACGUUCCCGGGUCUUGUACACACCGCCCGUCACACCACGAGAGUUUGUAACACCCGAAGUCGGUGAGGUAACCUUUUUGGAGCCAGCCGCCUAAGGUGGGACAGAUGAUUGGGGUGAAGUCGUAACAAGGUAGCCGUAUCGGAAGGUGCGGCUGGAUCACCUCCU
rnacentral:rRNA from 1 species